rnacentral:tRNA from 1 species
AGCGCACUAGUUAAAUGGUAUAAUUUCGUGCUACGGACACGAGGUCAUAAGUUCAAAUCUUAUGUGCGUUA